rnacentral:rRNA from 1 species
AGUAACACAUAAGCAAUCUGCCCUUCACAGGGGGAUAACAGCGGGAAACUGCUGCUAAUACCGCAUAAGACCACGGUACCGCAUGGUACAGGGGUAAAAACGAAUCAGUGGUGAAGGAUGAGCUUAUGUCCCAUUAGCUAGUUGGUGAGAUAACAGCCCACCAAGGCGACGAUGGGUAGCCGACCUGAGAGGGUGAUCGGCCACACUGGAACUGAGACACGGUCCAGACUCCUACGGGAGGCAGCAGUGGGGAAUAUUGGGCAAUGGAGGAAAAACCUCUUACCCAGCAAUGCCGCGUGAGUGAAGAAGGUCUUCGGAUUGUAAAGCUCUUUGAUUGGGGACGAAGAAAGUGACGGUACCCAAAGAACAAGCCCCGGCUAACUACGUGCCAGCAGCCGC